CAUCCAUGUCAGCAUGGCCAUGGAUUGCACACAUGCAUAGCCACAGUCAAUGUUGUAAAUUAAAUACAUUGACUUUUAAAAUUCGCUGCAAACAGUAUGAAUUCGAAAAGAGAUGACUAUUCCAAUUUGUCAAGAGAGAAUUUGAUAGAAAAAGUCCAGACCCUUGAGCGACAUGUUAAACAGCUGCAGAAUGUUUUAUCACGGGGCAAGAGUGAAGAGAGGGCAAAGAAGAGGAAGGAAGCAAGACCAUUCGAUUUCACAAAGUACAACACGAGGCAUGUAGCACUCAAGUUCCUCUAUCUUGGUUGGGAUUACCAGGGCUUUGCAGUCCAAGAAGACACAGAGAAAACCAUAGAACAUGAGUUGUUUGAUGCACUUAACAAGACUAAAUUGAUUGAAUCAAGGGAGACGUCUAAUUACCAUAGGUGUGGCAGGACAGAUAAAGGUGUCAGUGCCUUCUCUCAGGUGAUUUCGUUAGAUCUGCGAACAAACCUUCUUUCUGGUGUCGGUGUCAAGGCAAGGGAGGGUGGCAUGGCCCCUGAACGGCCUGGAGACAAGUCCAAGGAAAUUAACUACAUUCAUAUCUUGAAUAAAGUGCUGCCAAAAGAGAUAAGAAUCGUAGCUUGGGCACCUGUGAAUCCUGAAUUUAGUGCAAGAUUCAGCUGCACGAAGAGGCAAUACAAAUACAUUUUUCCCAGGGGGGAUAUGAAUAUUGAAGCAAUGCAUAUUGCUGCACAAAAACUUGUUGGAGAACAUGAUUUCCGCAACUUCUGCAAAAUGGACAUCAGUAAUGGCGUGGUGAUGUAUACACGGCGGAUACUAGCAGUGUCGAUUGACUAUAUAACGGACGGGCACGAUGGAUAUCAGUUAUGUGAACUAACAAUAGAAGGAAAUGCUUUCCUGUGGCACCAAAUACGUUGUAUUGUGACCAUUCUGUUCCUCGUUGGACAAGGAAAGGAAAUGCCACAAAUUAUUGAUGAGUUAUUUGAUAUCACUGUUCAUCCAAGAAAACCCCAGUAUACCAUGGCUUCAGAGCUGCCAUUGAUUCUCUUUGACUGUGAGUAUGAAGAUAUCAAGUGGAUAUAUGAUCAAGAGAAUAUGAAGUCAACUCUUGUCAACAUGCAGAGAUUAUGGACUGCAGAAACAACCAAGGCUACUAUCACCAAGAGAAUGUUGGACAAAUUGGAGUCUACUCAAGUAGCAACCGCAGAUGAUGGCACAUCUUGUGUAGCCGUACAGAGCCAGGCUGAAUGUAUUAUUCCUGGAAACAAAACUCGCAUUUAUAAGCCGUUACUUGAAAGACAAACUUGUGAUAGUCUUGAGGAGCGGCUAGAUGCCUUAGCAAAGAGGAGGAAAAUCCAAUCGUCAUUUCCAAUUGAGGAGAAGGAGGAGAAAGUUGAAUCCCCUAAAACUGCUGGUAAUGUGACAUUACUCAAAAAGGAUGAUGAUGCAUUCAUGUUGACUGCUCCGGGGAACAGUUUGAUAUCAGUUUCUGUUGAUUCUUUGGAGGAUUCAUAGCUUUCAGUCUAGGGACGGCAAAAGUCAUUUUCUUUGAUAACAAUCUAAUCUGUUCAAAAUUUGAAGUAUUAAGUGUGCUUGACUCCAUAAACUUUGAAUAAUGACUAUUAUCACAAAAUUUUGAAGAAAAAUCUCUCGAGACUAACUGUAUGUAUAGGUAUGUGAUUAGAGUGGGACAAAGCAGAAAAACUGAUCACAAACCUAGACUACAACAAAACGAAAAUACAAAGAGGCCAUUCAGAUCAGAAGAUUAAAUCCAACAAUUAAUAGAGAUGAAGAAUUUGACAUUUCCAGGGCACACCAAACCUUAAUCCACCAAAUAAAACUCUAAUCACAUACUUGUACAUAUAGAAUCAUUAGAACUGUUUCCAAUUCACAUACGACGUUGAAAAGACAGUAGGCCCACAAGGCCUAUUGUUAAAAAAUUAGAAUAUACAUUAUACUGUCAUGGGUAACUGGUCUAAAAUGUAAUUACGUCGCUGGCCUACUGUUAUAAACUAGCCCAGAAAGUUUGCCUCUGAUCAAUGCCUACUAACAUGUCACGUUGAAAACACCGGUUCUCGUCCGAUCACCAAAGUCGACAUGGCAAUUACGUUGCUGGGUGAUACACGACCACACAAGUAUUUUGGCAUGUGCACUCUAAAAGCUAGGGGUGCCAAAAGGGUGCUAUGACUGUUGCCUCUGGUCAGUGUCUUCACAUCAUUCUCAUCAACGAACGGAAAAGCAUAUAUACUCUUUUGUCGCCUGAUAGCUUUAAUCACCUUAAUAUGCCUAAAUAUGCCUAAAUAUGAAAAAGUUCAGGAUUCUGCAUGCAUCAAGAUUAUUUUCCUGUUAUGCCUGGAGGCACAAGUCACCAUACACAUGAUUGACCGAUAACACAGGGCAUGCACCUGGUGAAUGUCUGGUCAUCCCUAAAAAUAGCGCGGGAUAGUCUGACCAUCGCAAGUAGGCUAUAAAUUAGGUUAAAUUCCACACGUAGCACAGAGGAGUCUAUUUCAAGGGCCAAUCAAAACAAGGAUAGCUCCCUACUACAACCUCGGUCCCAUGAAUGUUUGCCUUUUCAGGUUUCAUAUUUGCAAUACAUCUUGUGACGCAUGGUACUCUCACCGAAGUUGGCAUCUCGCGAUUUUGCAUUCCACAUCCCGCGGUUUAUAAUAAGCCACACAACACACUUGUAGAAACAUCUACUUUCUCUUUCGUAACAGAUUUGGAUUGAGCAAUGUAUCUCUUUGGAUUUUCACCAACAAAGAUAUUCUUGGUAUUCUUGAUCUUACACUGCUGCGUGUAGUUAACCUGGAGUAGACCUGUGCUGAUCAUUGCGUUCGGUUUCACAAAACAAACCAGCAGAUCUUUCAAGAGCCUCAUCUGGCACCAUGGAUUUGUCUGACUGCAGCUCAAUAUUUGCCUUCUUGAAUGUUGGAAUAACAGCUGCCUGGAAACAAAUGGUCAGCUUCCAUGUUGGGGAUACCAGUCUGUCCUUCACUUUGCACUUGGAAUCACUGAAAUGAAAGACAUAGAGUUAAGAUAGUCUUGAGGAGCGGCUAGAUGCCUUAGCAAAGAGGAGGAAAAUCCAAUCGUCAUUUCCAAUUGAGGAGAAGGAGGAGAAAGUUGAAUCCCCUAAAACUGCUGGUAAUGUGACAUUACUCAAAAAGGAUGAUGAUGCAUUCAUGUUGACUGCUCCGGGGAACAGUUUGAUAUCAGUUUCUGUUGAUUCUUUGGAGGAUUCAUAGCUUUCAGUCUAGGGACGGCAAAAGUCAUUUUCUUUGAUAACAAUCUAAUCUGUUCAAAAUUUGAAGUAUUAAGUGUGCUUGACUCCAUAAACUUUGAAUAAUGACUAUUAUCACAAAAUUUUGAAGAAAAAUCUCUCGAGACUAACUGUAUGUAUAGGUAUGUGAUUAGAGUGGGACAAAGCAGAAAAACUGAUCACAAACCUAGACUACAACAAAACGAAAAUACAAAGAGGCCAUUCAGAUCAGAAGAUUAAAUCCAACAAUUAAUAGAGAUGAAGAAUUUGACAUUUCCAGGGCACACCAAACCUUAAUCCACCAAAUAAAACUCUAAUCACAUACUUGUACAUAUAGAAUCAUUAGAACUGUUUCCAAUUCACAUACGACGUUGAAAAGACAGUAGGCCCACAAGGCCUAUUGUUAAAAAAUUAGAAUAUACAUUAUACUGUCAUGGGUAACUGGUCUAAAAUGUAAUUACGUCGCUGGCCUACUGUUAUAAACUAGCCCAGAAAGUUUGCCUCUGAUCAAUGCCUACUAACAUGUCACGUUGAAAACACCGGUUCUCGUCCGAUCACCAAAGUCGACAUGGCAAUUACGUUGCUGGGUGAUACACGACCACACAAGUAUUUUGGCAUGUGCACUCUAAAAGCUAGGGGUGCCAAAAGGGUGCUAUGACUGUUGCCUCUGGUCAGUGUCUUCACAUCAUUCUCAUCAACGAACGGAAAAGCAUAUAUACUCUUUUGUCGCCUGAUAGCUUUAAUCACCUUAAUAUGCCUAAAUAUGCCUAAAUAUGAAAAAGUUCAGGAUUCUGCAUGCAUCAAGAUUAUUUUCCUGUUAUGCCUGGAGGCACAAGUCACCAUACACAUGAUUGACCGAUAACACAGGGCAUGCACCUGGUGAAUGUCUGGUCAUCCCUAAAAAUAGCGCGGGAUAGUCUGACCAUCGCAAGUAGGCUAUAAAUUAGGUUAAAUUCCACAGGUAGCACAGAGGAGUCUAUUUCAAGGGCCAAUCAAAACAAGGAUAGCUCCCUACUACAACCUCGGUCCCAUGAAUGUUUGCCUUUUCAGGUUUCAUAUUUGCAAUACAUCUUGUGACGCAUGGUACUCUCACCGAAGUUGGCAUCUCGCGAUUUUGCAUUCCACAUCCCGCGGUUUAUAAUAAGCCACACAACACACUUGUAGAAACAUCUACUUUCUCUUUCGUAACAGAUUUGGAUUGAGCAAUGUAUCUCUUUGGAUUUUCACCAACAAAGAUAUUCUUGGUAUUCUUGAUCUUACACUGCUGCGUGUAGUUAACCUGGAGUAGACCUGUGCUGAUCAUUGCGUUCGGUUUCACAAAACAAACCAGCAGAUCUUUCAAGAGCCUCAUCUGGCACCAUGGAUUUGUCUGACUGCAGCUCAAUAUUUGCCUUCUUGAAUGUUGGAAUAACAGCUGCCUGGAAACAAAUGGUCAGCUUCCAUGUUGGGGAUACCAGUCUGUCCUUCACUUUGCACUUGGAAUCACUGAAAUGAAAGACAUAGAGUUAAGAUAGUCUUGAGGAGCGGCUAGAUGCCUUAGCAAAGAGGAGGAAAAUCCAAUCGUCAUUUCCAAUUGAGGAGAAGGAGGAGAAAGUUGAAUCCCCUAAAACUGCUGGUAAUGUGACAUUACUCAAAAAGGAUGAUGAUGCAUUCAUGUUGACUGCUCCGGGGAACAGUUUGAUAUCAGUUUCUGUUGAUUCUUUGGAGGAUUCAUAGCUUUCAGUCUAGGGACGGCAAAAGUCAUUUUCUUUGAUAACAAUCUAAUCUGUUCAAAAUUUGAAGUAUUAAGUGUGCUUGACUCCAUAAACUUUGAAUAAUGACUAUUAUCACAAAAUUUUGAAGAAAAAUCUCUCGAGACUAACUGUAUGUAUAGGUAUGUGAUUAGAGUGGGACAAAGCAGAAAAACUGAUCACAAACCUAGACUACAACAAAACGAAAAUACAAAGAGGCCAUUCAGAUCAGAAGAUUAAAUCCAACAAUUAAUAGAGAUGAAGAAUUUGACAUUUCCAGAUGAAGAAUUUGACAUUCGCGCUGCGAGCGACCUUGGGAAAGCCGAACAGAUGGUAUUUUCAGGUAGUCAAGGCAUUUCUUUGUAAUAUGUGCAAAAAAGUCGGACUGGAUUCUCUAAGAGGACACCUCCGUUGUCAUGAGAUACCAAAUUUUAUGAAAAGGGCAGAGUUUCACCUCGGGCAUACUGAAAAUGCGUUGAAGAAAACGAUGAUGCACUGUUGUUUCAAACGGCGCUCUGUUCACCAAUAUUGCAUAUUUCAUAUAGAUUUCUGUUGGAAAUUAUUCACAGCUACGUGGUUAAGUUGAAAUUAAUAGUUUCUGAGCUCAUGAAAAUGUCGUCAUUACGUCUUAAAGGUCAUAUAUCAAGGUUUGAAAACAUGCUUGAUACUCAUGAAAUAUGUUGAGGGUUAAAAAAACAAGAUCCCAGACAUUAAAAAAAUUCUAAUAAUAAAGUCAUUAUUUAGUUAUUUCAAUUUUCAAUUUGAAACUAUUUGAAUUUCCCACCACACACAACUUUAGAUUAGUUCCACAUGUGGCCGCUAGGGAUUUUUUGAUGACGUAGGUCAGGUCAGUCAGAACAAAGCAAGAUGGCUUCCGCAUACAGUUCAGAGAGUGAGAGCAGUGAAUUUGAGGAUGUUUUGGUCGAUACAGAAGGAUAUUUAAACGUUGAGCCAUACAUGUUCGAGCCAUUGAUAUCACUAGAUCAUAAUGAGAGUGAUCAUUCGGACGAAAGUGAUGAUUUGCAUGGCAGACCUGCCGAUAUAGCAAAGAAGACAUUGAUAGAUGGUUGCAGAUGCAUAACAUGUAUGAUUUUUGAACAGACUAAUGUUGCACAAUAUUGUUUCGCCUCGUCUGUGUUGUAUCGCCAGUUAUGUCAUGACGCUGAACUACUAUUGAAAAGUGACGGUAUUAUGCACAAUCAUCUUGACGUGACGAUAUAAUGCCGUGCAACGUUAGAUAGGCCUAGAUGUCAGAUGACAAUAAUCUGUCAUUGACAGUGGCUGUCACUGACACUGACCUGUGUCGCUGUCACCUCGCUGUCACCUUGCUAUGGCUGGAACACAAGAAGACACUAUGCGGUAUCACAGGCCCCAAUAGGGCCUACACAUUAUGUAUAACAACCGACCUCAGCAGCCUCGGGCAUUAAAUGCAAUUGACAUGGUUGUGUAGCCACUGUACAGUGGAUGACAUGUGCCAUUUGGGUAGUAUGAGUGUUGUGUGCAUCAGCAGUGUAUAAAUCAUGAAAUAGUGUUCAACUCA